CUUCCCGGGAGGUCACCCAUCC
rnacentral:siRNA from 1 species